rnacentral:rRNA from 1 species
UACGAAGGGGGCUAGCGUUGCUCGGAAUCACUGGGCGUAAAGCGCACGUAGGCGGACUCUUAAGUCGGACGUGAAAUCCCUCGGCUCAACCGGGGAACUGCGUCCGAUACUGGCGGGCUUGAAUUCGGGAGAGGGAUGUGGAAUUCCAGGUGUAGCGGUGAAAUGCGUAGAUAUCUGGAGGAACACCGGUGGCGAAGGCGGCAUCCUGGACCGACAUUGACGCUGAGGCGCGAAAGCCAGGGGAGCAAACGGGG